CGAUUUCUAGCAUUUCUAAACAUUUUCAUAUAAGCGCCUUCGACAAUUCUGAUGUCAGACCUCCAAGGCGGUGAUAAUCUGCUCCUUUUCCAAAGACAUUAAAAUCUUCCGUUCAGUGGUCAUAAGUAGCAAUGCUUCAAGUUUUUCUUGAGACAUAGACAAACAUGUGCGGGUUUGAUUGGAAUUGCAACUGCAAUCGCGUAAACUUUACAAAGAGUUGGAAAUGUGUUACUCGAUACUACACACGAUGUUUUAUGACUUUUAUCGUUUUAUUAUGUAUAGAAUCGCUUCAAAUAUGUUUAUAAUACUAAGAUAUAAUCUAGAAUAACACUAGUUCAAAACGCAACGUUUCUCGAACGUAUUCUGAGCACGCGAGGUGCGCCGCUGGUCGCUCGUACCAGUCUCUAAACUGUUCGCAUAUAUUAUCGUUCAUUACGGUAUCACUCUCCCCUCCUCAUUGAAUGCCAUCCAUGACAUAUACGGAUCUUUCUUCUUAUCUUAUCAUUUACAGGUAUUUCUCUAGAAUUGUUGAUGUCUUCUACCUAAGACACCUGGGCUGGUUGAUCAGACACAACCCAUUAACUCUAUCAAACCUAUCUAAUACUCAUGCGCGCAUACUCAUUCUACAUAUAGAUCCGUUUUUCCGUAACCUCAGUUACGAUACACGUUCCUCCAUAACUAUGGAUUCUUAACGACAAAAGUACAAUGUUUUUCUAAUAAUAUGAUUUAAAAUGUUCCAAAUAUCUAAAACGCAAACAUUGGCUGGUUGUGGUACAUUUGAGGGUAACCAAACAAUGGUGGAGUUGGUGGAUAAUCAAAUGGUGGUGGAGUUGGUAGGUAACCAAACGGUGGUGGGGUCGGUGGGUAAUCAAAUGGUGGUUGAGUUGGUGGGUAACCGUAAAAUAGGUGCGGUUGUGGUGGUAUGAAGCCGCAGGUCUGCAUCAUUCCAACGGUGGGGUUUUGACAUUGAACACACCAGUCGCUGGAUUUCCGGGUGUG